GACGAACGCUGGCGGCGUGCUUAACACAUGCAAGUCGAACGGAAAGGCCCUGCUUUUGUGGGGUGCUCGAGUGGCGAACGGGUGAGUAGCACGUGAGUAACCUGCCCUUGACUUUGGGAUAACUUCAGGAAACUGGGGCUAAUACCGGAUAGGAGCUCCUGCCGCAUGGUGGGGGUUGGAAAGUUUCGGCGGUUGGGGAUGGACUCGCGGCUUAUCAGCUUGUUGGUGGGGUAGUGGCUUACCAAGGCUUUGACGGGUAGCCGGCCUGAGAGGGUGACCGGCCACAUUGGGACUGAGAUACGGCCCAGACUCCUACGGGAGGCAGCAGUGGGGAAUAUUGCACAAUGGGCGGAAGCCUGAUGCAGCAACGCCGCGUGCGGGAUGACGGCCUUCGGGUUGUAAACCGCUUUCGCCUGUGACGAAGCGUGAGUGACGGUAAUGGGUAAAGAAGCACCGGCUAACUACGUG
rnacentral:rRNA from 1 species